rnacentral:rRNA from 1 species
ACCGAGAUUCCCCCAGUAGCGGCGAGCGAACGGGGAGGAGCCCAGAGCCUGAAUCAGUGUGUGUGUUAGUGGAAGCGUCUGGAAAGGCGCGCGAUACAGGGUGACAGCCCCGUACACAAAAAUGCACAUACUGUGAGCUCGAUGAGUAGGGCGGGACACGUGGUAUCCUGUCUGAAUAUGGGGGGACCAUCCUCCAAGGCUAAAUACUCCUGACUGACCGAUAGUGAACCAGUACCGUGAGGGAAAGGCGAAAAGAACCCCGGCGAGGGGAGUGAAAAAGAACCUGAAACCGUGUACGUACAAGCAGUGGGAGCCUCUUAAUGGGGUGACUGCGUACCUUUUGUAUAAUGGGUCAGCGACUUAUAUUCUGUAGCAAGGUUAACCGAAUAGGGGAGCCGAAGGGAAACCGAGUCUUAACUGGGCGUUAAGUUGCAGGGUAUAGACCCGAAACCCGGUGAUCUAGCCAUGGGCAGGUUGAAGGUUGGGUAACACUAACUGGAGGACCGAACCGACUAAUGUUGAAAAAUUAGCGGAUGACUUGUGGCUGGGGGUGAAAGGCCAAUCAAACCGGGAGAUAGCUGGUUCUCCCCGAAAGCUAUUUAGGUAGCGCCUCGUGAAUUCAUCUCCGGGGGUAGAGCACUGUUUCGGCAAGGGGGUCAUCCCGACUUACCAACCCGAUGCAAACUGCGAAUACCGGAGAAUGUUAUCACGGGAGACACACGGCGGGUGCUAACGUCCGUCGUGAAGAGGGAAACAACCCAGACCGCCAGCUAAGGUCCCAAAGUCAUGGUUAAGUGGGAAACGAUGUGGGAAGGCCCAGACAGCCAGGAUGUUGGCUUAGAAGCAGCCAUCAUUUAAAGAAAGCGUAAUAGCUCACUGGUCGAGUCGGCCUGCGCGGAAGAUGUAACGGGGCUAAACCAUGCACCGAAGCUGCGGCAGCGACACUAUGUGUUGUUGGGUAGGGGAGCG